UACAGAGGGUGCAAGCGUUAAUCGGAAUUACUGGGCGUAAAGAGCACGUAGGUGGUUUGACAAGUUGGGUGUGAAAUCCCCGGGCUUAACCUGGGAACUGCAUUCAAAACUAUCAAACUAGAGUAGAGUAGAGGGAAGUGGAAUUUCCGGUGUAGCGGUGAAAUGCGUAGAUAUCGGAAGGAACACCAGUGGCGAAGGCGGCUUCCUGGACUCAUACUGACACUGAGGUGCGAAAGCGUGGGGAGCAAACAGG
rnacentral:rRNA from 1 species